AUAAUAUUUGUAACUUAUCAUGAUUUUGUAUCAGAAUGUAUCACUAUUUUCAUUAUAAAAAAAAAAAAAAAGAUUGGAUUCUUAAUGAGACAGAAAGAUGUAUUUGAAGCUCCUUUCAAUUCAAGAAUGCCCCAAAAAUAGAAAAUUUCAUUCUUAGAGGAAAGAAUUUGGCAUUACACCAUGAUCCUCCUUGCAAGUAAUUUUGUUUUAGUUGGUGCAGAAGAAAAUGAUUGAAUAGGAGCAACUCAUAACAUACCCCCCUGUUAUCAUAAGAGUUUUGGCAGUUAGACUCGUGUUUGAUCACUCAAAAAUGGUUGGGAGUUUUGGCUGUUAGUCUCUUGUGUUCGAUCACUUACAAUUAAAAUGUGAUCACCAUCUCUAAUCACCUCAAUAUCAUCAAUUUCAGCUUUGUCCUUGCUCAGAACUUUGGCAAGUGUCAACCCAAAUUUCUUAGCACCAAUCUCUAGCAACUCCGGCAAGCUCUUGGGGAGUAGAAUCAGCUUCCCUGCCAUUUCUACCUUUUCUGGGCAACUAAUUAUCACUCUUGCAGGGUUAGCUCCAUAAUUGUCUGCGGCUAUUGUGUGACUAACUGGGAAUGGUAAUUCCUUCUCCCCCUUGUGGGCCGCAGACAUCAUCCCAAAGAGCGAAUUGUGAAAAUUAUUAGUUCUGCGUCUGGUACGCUUUUGGCUCCAUGAUCCAUCUCUACCCGAGUGUGAACCAUCAUGAGACAUAGGACGGAUAGUUGGCUCACUUGUAAAUCUCCCAAGAUAUCGAAUUCCAGGCUUGUGGUUCUCAGGUAUGGCAACAACAGACUGAGUUUUAGGCUCUUUACAAGUUUGGAAAAUGAAUUUUAUUUCUUCGUGUCCUUGUUGGUCGGCUAGAUCCCUGGGAGUCCAACCGUGUAUAUCUGGUUUGUCAAUUUCAGCACCAUGGUCUAAAAGAAACCUUACUAUCUCAGUGUUGUCUUCACAAACUGCAACGUGGAGUGCUGUGUUUCCACUCUUCCUCGAGCAUGUGACAUCCCCACCACAUCGAACAAUUUCCUUGAGCAAGUUCAAGCUAUUUUGCUCAGCGGCAAUGCAUGCAAAAUGACCUUCAUCUCCCGAUUUUAUGCUUGCACCAUUUUCUAUCAGCAGCCUGGCCACUGCUUCAUGGCCAGCUAGCAUUGCCUCCCACAGUGGGACAUUACCAUCCGAGUCUUUACAGUUAGGAUCUGCCCCGUAAUCCAGUAAAAGAAGCACACAGUUCUCACUUCCUUUUGAGGCUGCUAUAUGCUAAUAGACAUAAUUUUUGGGGGGAAAAAAGAUAGUGAGCAUUAGUAUUCUAGAGAAAAUCACAUAUUGAUGGGGGAAAGAAAAACAGUUUAUAAAAAGUUUCACUUUCACAUACCAGAGCCGACCUCCCAUUGCUAUCUGAUUCAUUUGGAUCCAGCCCCCUUUUCAACAACUGAUGUAACAAGGAAUCAUCUCCCCUAAGUGCAGCAAAACAUAGACUGAGUGGUAGGUCCAUUCUACCUCGAGCUAGCAUGUUCUCUGUCUCAAGCAAAACUCCCUCCAUAAUUGGGUUCUUUUGUUCUUUCAAAUGCUGAAGGAGAUUAUUCAUGAUUAUGGUCCCAUCUCCAACAUUGGCCUGAACAAUGUUCAAGAAUGUAGUACGGUUCAGUCGUAGUAGCUGGCUCAAUCUUUUGGUGCGCACAGUAAAAAGCUGUGGCCUAUAACAAAGCACCCCAAUCUCACCGCAAAGAUCACCACUUUUUAUUUGCCCAACAACCUGCAAUGAUCCAAAAUAAUUUUCUUCUGCAAAAGUUGAACUAUAAAACCACAGUGCUUGAUGCCACCAGUAUUGUCCUUGAGGUUAAAAGCUGUUUCAAGAGAUGGGACUUGCCUGUUCAACUCCACUUUUGUACACAAGUAGAUCCGCAGCACCAGUGACAAGUAUAUAGAAGUCUGUUGGAGCUUCAUUCUGCAAAAUCACAUCUUCAUUGGGAGGAAAAUACUCAGCUUUCAUCUCUGAAACCAGCUGGAAAAGCAAGUCAUUGGAAACCCCAUGGAACAAGUAAACCUUGUCCAGGAGAGAGUAAAAAAGAUAAUGUGAAAUGCUCGAACGAAUUGCUUUUGGAAGGGAAUCAAGAAUUUCUUGCUGCUGCAGUCCUUCGGAAUCUGUCCUGAACUUCAAACACAGAUGUGCAAGCAUCUGAUCUUGCAGGCGAAGAGGCAGUUGGUUCCUCUGAGCAAAACUUGAAGCUGCUUGUAUGGCAUCUCUAAAUCUUCUAGUUCGACUAGUCCCAUGAACAACCAAGUUGGUCAUGUUUCCAAUCAAAUAUGCUGUCAAUCCAAGGUUAAAAAGCAUAUAGAAGAUGUCAAAGAUCAUCUCCCUUGUAUUCACAGGAUGGAGAUCACCAUAGCCAACAGUUGUUAAAGUAGUAAUAGACCAGUAAAUUGAAGUCACAUAUCGGAUCCACAAACUCCUUUCAAGAAAAUUGUCCCCUAAAGAUACUCCAAUCCAUGUCUUAUCAGGGUUAUGAUAACGUGCAGCAAUAAGAUAGUAGAAGCAUCCAGCAAAGUGAACUGCAAAAAGGGUGACGCAAAUAAGCUUGGCACAUCGAACCCAGAAGUAGUUGUAGUUCCUAUCCUUCUCCAAUCUGGAAAAUAGAGCACUAACUCUUCUAAGCCUCCAAAGGCGAAGCAUGUUGAACAAGCCAUAUGAAUAUGAUAGGAAUAAUUGCGGAGAGAUUUUCCGAGCAAGUUCAGAUGGGAUUGUGGAUAUGAAAUCGAAGGCAAACCAGGAACUCAAAUACUUCCAAGCAAUCUUUUUUGGAUUGUCAACAAGUAGGUACGUGGUCUUGUCAAGGUAAGCUACAAAGAAGGUAAGAACUAUGUCUACAGCAAAGAAUCCAUUGACAACAUUAUCAGCAAUGGAGAGUGGUCCCUCUGGUUUCUUGAGAAAUCCGAAUUCAAAAGGCGAUACCCAAGCAGUAUAGAUGACUAGAACAACAAGAAAAGUCUCCCAUAUUCUGUAGCGACGGUCAUAAGGAGAUAUAAUGAACCUCCUGAGCUUGACUCUGCGGUUACUUCUUGCACCAAGUGAAGGUAAAACCGCAGAAGAGAGGCUGUAAUGGCUGCCAUCUCUAGACAACUGCUCUAUCUCUUCUUGGCCGCACACUGAAACCCUAAAGACUCCUCUGUUUCGCAGAGUGUCCAUUCUUGAUUGACGUAAAGAGAGCUUUCUUUCUUUGGUUCCUAAAGCCUGCCUGGGAAUUU
rnacentral:misc_RNA from 1 species